UAAUACAGAGGUCUCGAGCGUUAGUCGGAUUCAUUGGGCUUAAAGCGUACGUAGGCGGAUAUGCAGGCGUCGUGUGAAAGCCCUCGGCUCAACCGAGGAAUUGCACGGCGAACCGCAUGUCUUGAGAUCGGUAGGGGCGGUCGGAACGAUAGGUGGAGUGGUGAAAUGCGUUGAUAUCUAUCGGAACGCCGAAGGUGAAGACAGGCCGCUGGGCCGAUUCUGACGCUGAGGUACGAAAGCGUGGGGAGCGAACGGGAUUAGAUACCCCGGUAGUCCACGCCGUAAACGAUGUGCACUAGAUCGAGGAGGGUUUGACCCCAUUCUCGGUCGAAGUAAAAACGUUGAGUGCACCGCCUGGGGAGUACGGUCGCAAGGCUA
rnacentral:rRNA from 1 species